AGUGAACGCUGGCGGUAGGCCUAACACAUGCAAGUCGAACGGCAGCACAGUAAGAGCUUGCUCUUGCGGGUGGCGAGUGGCGGACGGGUGAGGAAUACAUCGGAAUCUACUUUUUCGUGGGGGAUAACGUAGGGAAACUUACGCUAAUACCGCAUACGACCUACGGGUGAAAGCAGGGGAUCUUCGGACCUUGCGCGAUUGAAUGAGCCGAUGUCGGAUUAGCUAGUUGGCGGGGUAAAGGCCCACCAAGGCGACGAUCCGUAGCUGGUCUGAGAGGAUGAUCAGCCACACUGGAACUGAGACACGGUCCAGACUCCUACGGGAGGCAGCAGUGGGGAAUAUUGGACAAGGGGCGCAAGCCUGAGCCAGCCAUACCGCGUGGGUGAAGAAGGCCUUCGGGUUGUAAAGCCCUCUUGUUGGAAAGAAAAGCAGCAGGUUAAUACCCCGCUGUUCUGACGGUACCCAAAGAAUAAGCACCGGCUAACUUCGU
rnacentral:rRNA from 1 species